CUUCUCUGUUUUAUCCAAACUAGGUCACACCUGCGUCAUUUCGUUCGCCGUCUCGGUUGUGUUUUGCCCUGGCCUCUCGCCGAGCCGCCACCGCCUGCCAUCGAGCCUCUGGUGUGCGCCUACACCUCCCCCUUCCUGACUCGGCUUCUCUGUGAAGGUUUCUAUGUCUGCCUAGGAGCUCCAGGAUCACGGCUCUUCGAGCUCGGCUGCCUCCACCAACAAUAAUCUGCGAGCGCUUGCCCAGACGAUGAUAUGGAGAUCGUUGAGAUUUCGGGUACAUAUGUACUCGGAGGUAUAUUAGAUAAACUCGACCUUCCAGCGCCACGCUAUCACUCUCGAGCACAUCGAAGGGGCCAGUUUGUAAGUAAUGUUACAUUUUAUCCCUUCAAAGAACAUCUGCGGCACCCGUCUACAGCGGUCCAGCUCUCGAGCUCUCCCUGCAUAACUUGCAGAGCACAAUAGAUGUAGUUCUCAAAAGGCAAUAGACUAUACGGAAGAUCACCAGAGGAAGGUCCUGCAAGACUACAACUAUAUUGAAUUGAAAAGAUCAGAGGAGACCAACUUACAACUGAGAAAGAUGAAAGGAUCAAAGGGCUAGCGACGACAACUGGUAACUACAUAGGUUUCAACAUGAAUCCUGUGAACCUUCUGUCCAAAGUCAUCCUAGAUGCUAUGUUUGAGAAAGUCGGCCUUCCAGCGGCCGCCUACUCGGCACGUGCAGUUCAUCUCGGGUGCGUUGAAGUCACAGUCGGCUUCCAUCCAAUUUCCAGUGAACUGGAGCGUCCUGUUAGUCAGACAUAUAUUUCAACCUUUGCUUUCACUGAUCUGGAAGAAGCGCAGAAUCAUGUUGCGCGUAAAGCCAUGGAAUUCAUGGAGAAGGAACACAAUGUGGUCCCAAGUGAUUAUAGCUAUAACAAACUUCAGUCUGCUAGGCUUAACAACGAGUCACUGCGUCAGCGUCUGAAAGAAAAGGACCGCAGUAUCGAAUCAUUGAAAAAGGUCAAUACAUCUCUGGUGCAGCAACUAGAAGAGAAGAACAACAUCUUGACUCUAUUAUGAAGACAAAUAGAGACAUGAUGGAGAAGCUGGCUGAAAAGGAUGCAGUCAUUGAAUCCAUCAACAAGGUCCAUCAAAUACUGCUGAAGCAGCUUAGUGAGAAACACGAGAUCAUAAAAAAGCUCAGCAAAGGCUGGGAUAACUCACUGGAUACUGGAUUUUCAGCAACCAUCCAACUUCAGUGUCUGAUUGAUGAGGGCAUGUCCCAUGGAUCAACAUAGGCAGGCAUUGAGCUCAAUGCGACUCUCCAGAAUGCUCAGCACAUAUGUGAGUACCUUGAGCAGAACACUAUCCUUGCUGUUGAGUACCUACAGUCCAUUGGGACAUAUCCAUAUGACCCAAAGCCAGGUUUUACUGAUGAUGAAGACAACUGUUCAGUGGACCCCGAGCCCGUGCCACCAGAGCAUCCACCCUACAUGAGAAGUUGUUUGGAUGAUGAGGAGAUCUUUGAUAGUGAAGGCAAUUGCUCUACAGACUACGACACUUUGCUCAAGGAGCACUACUGAUACAACAUCACCAACAUGCCAGCGUGAUUCUCUUGAGGAUCGCUCGGUGGUAUCAGCUUGCUAUCUUUUACUACGUGGCCACUUAAGGCACAUAUCCCAAUGUACAGACAGCCCGGAAGCCACAAGGACAAUGGCGUGGCACAUCAAAAGAGGCCCACCCAACUAGGUUAACUAUAUACCAGCUCUCUUUGCAUACCAUGUUUCCAGAUCCAUUCCCCUCUCCCUUCCACGAACCUCUUGUUCCAGUCCUGCCGCCGCCAUGGAUGAAUCCUCCUCUGCAUUGACAACCUCGUCCAUCAAGCUGGCCACGAAUGAUGAGCUGCUGUUCAAGGGCUUUUCUCCGAUUAGUUCCAAGUUGUUGUCAUCUCAUUCUCCUCUUCAUCCGUCGAUUUCAUAACCCAUUGCAUGCUGAUAUUUACAUUUUACCAUUUGUUAAAUCAAAGCAAUAUCCUAUCUGUGUCACCAUCAACAAGCAAUUCAUUCUUGAACAAGCAAUUGAAACAAUUGGUGGCACAAUCCAUCCAUUCACUUUCACUGACAUUGGUAGCGACGAUGUGGGCAUCUCUGUCUCCAUUGACCUGCCUCCACACAGCAAAAGCUUGUCAAGCACAACAAAGGAAUUUCAUGGACCAUGCAUUGAAUCUAUGUGUGUUGCCGCCCUUGGAUAACUGCAGAAAAUAGGUAUAAUCACGAUAGAUGAUGCAAAUUUCGCAUUUCAUGGACCAUGCAUUGAAUCUAUGUGUGUUGCCGCCCUUGGAUAACUGCAGAAAAUAGGUAUAAUCACGAUAGAUGAUGCAAAUUUCGCGGAGCUGAAAAAAUGCAAAAGAAAACUUCAGGCUGAGGAGUUCUGGUCGUCGACACUCUACGACCAGGCCAGCGCCCUGCAUGACCAACUCUCUUUACUGACCGUAAUCAACCAGGUCCCCAACCUAAGGCUAAACAAGAAGCUGUUGUGUUACCUUCUACGCAUCAGAAUACUGUACAUGCCAGCCAAAUCAUGCUGUCUAAGGAUACCACUGGAGGAGAAAGUGCAUCGACCCCGAUCACAGCAAAUAAUAAUAGCAUCCAUCGAGUGCCUUCUAAAAAUAACAAGAAGAUGAGGACCGCGCGUCGAGCGCUAUUCCCUGGAAAAUAGAGCGGCACAUACGCCAUUGUAGGCUCCCAUCAUUGCAACAACCCGAUGGAAAAAGCCGUUUUCCAUGUCUAUGUUGCAUCGAACCUUCCCAGAUUCAGGACCCGUCACUUUUGUCAUGCACACAGCUUGAUCUUGCAGCUGUAUAUACUGCGUCCGUAUUAGCUUCCUCUGGGCGCAUCGCUAUGUAUAAAUGCAUGGAACCCUCUGUUAUGCUACUGCAGAUUAGAUGCAAACCACAUGCUUUUGUAACUCCCCACGUCUUCCUGUCAUGUAAUGGACAUAUUAUGAGCAUAUCAUAUCUCUAUCUACGUCGAACAAAGUGGUUCCCAUACGUGAUCACAUGCAGUUUACAUUCAGGCUUUAUUACCUCUGAACAAUUAACAUUAUAAUCUAUGUUUUCAACAUGUUA